UCGGUAAGAUAGUGGUACAUAUCUGGCUACUAUCCUCCACGCUGAAAGUAUAUACCUUCACUAUUAGAAAUUAUUCGAUUUUAGAUCUAAAUUUAAAAUAAAAGGAAGCUCUGGGCUAUAAAGAUUUUACUAUAACAGCUUUAGUAAGAAUUAAUUUUUAAAUAGUUUGUAAGGAAGAAAGUUUACGCCUUCUUGGCUGUUGUUAUCUGGGCUCUCAGAAAUAUGGACAGGCAUAUAAACCUUGGAUGCAGAAUUCUUGAAGCUAGUCUAGAUUACGUAAUUUGCCUCAAACAAGAACUCGUACAUGUACCUGCAGUUUAUUAACUUUGCCACUUUGGUCUGUAAUUUUUUUUUUUUAAUUUUACGACACAAAAGCAUAAACUUUUAGGGAA